rnacentral:rRNA from 1 species
AUUGAACGCUGGCGGCAGGCUUAACACAUGCAAGUCGAGCGGGGUGAUGGUGCUUGCACUAUCACUUAGCGGCGGACGGGUGAGUAAUGCUUAGGAAUCUGCCUAUUAGUGGGGGACAACAUCUCGAAAGGGAUGCUAAUACCGCAUACGUCCUACGGGAGAAAGCAGGGGAUCACUUGUGACCUUGCGCUAAUAGAUGAGCCUAGGUCGGAUAAGCUAGGUGGUGGGGUAAAGGCCUACCAAGGCGACGAUCUGUAGCGGGUCUGCGAGGAUGAUCCGCCACACUGGGACUGAGACACGGCCCAGACUCCUACGGGAGGCAGCAGUGGGGAAUAUUGGACAAUGGGGGGAACCCUGAUCCAGCCAUGCCGCGUGUGUGAAGAAGGCCUUAUGGUUGUAAAGCACUUUAAGCGAGGAGGAGGCUCUUUUGGUUAAUACCCAAGAUGAGUGGACGUUACUCGCAGAAUAAGCACCGGCUAACUCUGUGCCAGCAGCCGCAGUAA